AAAAACAUGUCUUCUUGUUUAUUUAUUUGAAGUUUAACCUGCUCAAUGGGUUUUCCUAAAUGGCCGCAGUAUCCUAACUGUGCUAAGGUAGCAUAAUAAAUUGUCUUUUAAUUGAAGGCUUGUAUGAAAGGUUGGAUGAAAUAUAAGCUUUCUUUAUAUUAAAAUCAUGAAUUUAAUCUUUUGGUUAAAAAGCCAAUAUCUUUUUAAGGGACAAGAAGACCCUAUAGAUCUUAAUAUCUGAGUAGUUAUACUUAACUUAGUUAAUUUGUAAGUUAUAAAUUCUUAAAUAUUUAAUUGGGGUGAUUUUAGUAUUUUAAUAACUUCUAACUUUCUUUCAUUGAUUUAUGUUUAUUUGAUCCAGUUAUAUUGAUUAUAAGACUAAGUUACCUUAGGGAUAACAGCGUUAUUUCUUCGGAGAGUUCAUAUCGAUGAAGGAGUUUGCGACCUCGAUGUUGGAUUAAAAUAAGUCUUGGAUGUAGUG
rnacentral:rRNA from 1 species